GGGGUGAUGGCUCAAUGGUAGAGCUUCUGACUACGGAUCAGAAGGUUGCAGGUUCGAGUCCUGCUCACCUCG
rfam:Tetrahymena thermophila SB210 genomic scaffold scf_8254658, whole genome shotgun sequence.